UAAGCGACUAAGCGUACACGGUGGAUGCCUAGGCAAUCAGAGGCGAUGAAGGACGUGCUAAUCUGCGAAAAGCGUCGGUAAGGUGAUAUGAACCGUUAUAACCGACGAUGUCCGAAUGGGGAAACCCAGUGCAAUUCGUUGCACUAUCGUUUGAUGAAUCCAUAGUCAAACGAGGCGAACCGGGGGAACUGAAACAUCUCAGUACCCCGAGGAAAAGAAAUCAACCGAGAUUCCCCUAGUAGCGGCGAGCGAACGGGGAGCAGCCCAGAGUCUUAAUCAGCAUCAGCAUCAGGAGAACGGUCUGGAAAGGCCGGCAAUAAAGGGUGAUAGCCCCGUAUCCGAAGGUGUUGGUGUUGUGAACUCGACGAGUAGGGCGGGACACGUGUUAUCCUGUCUGAAUAUGGGGGGACCAUCCUCCAAGGCUAAAUACUCCUGAUUGACCGAUAGUGAACCAGUACCGUGAGGGAAAGGCGAAAAGAACCCCGGCGAGGGGAGUGAAAUAGAACCUGAAACCGUGUACGUACAAGCAGUGGGAGCCUUGAUUUAUCAGGGUGACUGCGUACCUUUUGUAUAAUGGGUCAGCGACUUAUAUUCUGUAGCAAGGUUAACCGAAUAGGGGAGCCGUAGGGAAACCGAGUCUUAACUGGGCGAAUGAGUUGCAGGGUAUAGACCCGAAACCCGGUGAUCUAGCCAUGGGCAGGUUGAAGGUUGGGUAACACUAACUGGAGGACCGAACCGACUAAUGUUGAAAAAUUAGCGGAUGACUUGUGGCUGGGGGUGAAAGGCCAAUCAAACCGGGAGAUAGCUGGUUCUCCCCGAAAGCUAUUUAGGUAGCGCCUCGUGAACUCAUCUUCGGGGGUAGAGCACUGUUUCGGCUAGGGGGUCAUCCCGACUUACCAACCCGAUGCAAACUACGAAUACCGAAGAAUGUUAUCACGGGAGACACACGGCGGGUGCUAACGUUCGUCGUGAAGAGGGAAACAACCCAGACCGCCAGCUAAGGUCCCAAAGUCAUGGUUAAGUGGGAAACGAAGUGGGAAGGCUCAGACAGCCAGGAUGUUGGCUUAGAAGCAGCCAUCAUUUAAAGAAAGCGUAAUAGCUCACUGGUCGAGUCGGCCUGCGCGGAAGAUGUAACGGGGCUAAACCAUGCACCGAAGCUGCGGCAGCGACAUGUAAAUGUUGUUGGGUAGGGGAGCGUUCUGUAAGCCUGUGAAGGUGUGCUGCGAGGCAUGCUGGAGGUAUCAGAAGUGCGAAUGCUGACAUAAGUAACGAUAAUGCGGGUGAAAAACCCGCACGCCGGAAGACCAAGGGUUCCUGUCCAACGUUAAUCGGGGCAGGGUGAGUCGACCCCUAAGGCGAGGCAGAAAUGCGUAGUCGAUGGGAAACAGGUUAAUAUUCCUGUACUGGUGAUAAUUGCGAUGGGGGGACGGAGAAGGCUAGGCUGGCCGGGCGACGGUUGUCCCGGUUUAAGGAUGUAGGUGGGUGAAUUAGGCAAAUCCGGUUCGCUAUACACUGAGGUCUGAUGACGAGUCACUACGGUGGCGAAGUAGCUCAUGCCCCGCUUCCAGGAAAAGCCUCUAAGCUCUAGAUUAUCAUUAAUCGUACCCCAAACCGACACAGGUGGUCAGGUAGAGAAUACUCAGGCGCUUGAGAGAACUCGGGUGAAGGAACUAGGCAAAAUGGUGCCGUAACUUCGGGAGAAGGCACGCUGGCACUAGGUGAAGUCCCUUGCGGAUGGAGCUGAAGCCAGUCGCAGAUACCAGCUGGCUGCAACUGUUUAUUAAAAACACAGCACUGUGCAAACACGAAAGUGGACGUAUACGGUGUGACGCCUGCCCGGUGCUGGAAGGUUAAUUGAUGGGGUUAUCCGUAAGGAGAAGCUCUUGAUCGAAGCCCCAGUAAACGGCGGCCGUAACUAUAACGGUCCUAAGGUAGCGAAAUUCCUUGUCGGGUAAGUUCCGACCUGCACGAAUGGCGUAAUGAUGGCCAGGCUGUCUCCACCCGAGACUCAGUGAAAUUGAACUCGCUGUGAAGAUGCAGUGUACCCGCGGCAAGACGGAAAGACCCCGUGAACCUUUACUAUAGCUUGACACUGAACAUUGAGCCUUGAUGUGUAGGAUAGGUGGGAGGCUUUGAAGUGUGGACGCCAGUCUGCAUGGAGCCAACCUUGAAAUACCACCCUUUAAUGUUUGAUGUUCUAACGUUGCCCCGUGAUCCGGGGUGCGGACAGUGUCUGGUGGGUAGUUUGACUGGGGCGGUCUCCUCCCAAAGCGUAACGGAGGAGCACGAAGGUUGGCUAAGCAUGGUCGGACAUCAUGCGGUUAGUGCAAAGGCAUAAGCCAGCUUGACUGCGAGAGUGACGGCUCGAGCAGGUACGAAAGUAGGUCUUAGUGAUCCGGUGGUUCUGAAUGGAAGGGCCAUCGCUCAACGGAUAAAAGGUACUCCGGGGAUAACAGGCUGAUACCGCCCAAGAGUUCAUAUCGACGGCGGUGUUUGGCACCUCGAUGUCGGCUCAUCACAUCCUGGGGCUGAAGUAGGUCCCAAGGGUAUGGCUGUUCGCCAUUUAAAGUGGUACGCGAGCUGGGUUUAGAACGUCGUGAGACAGUUCGGUCCCUAUCUGCCGUGGGCGUUGGAAGAUUGAAAGGGGCUGCUCCUAGUACGAGAGGACCGGAGUGGACGCACCGCUGGUGUUCGGGUUGUCAUGCCAAUGGCACUGCCCGGUAGCUAAGUGCGGAAGAGAUAACCGCUGAAAGCAUCUAAGCGGGAAACUUGCCUUGAGAUGAGUCUUCCCUGACUCUUUAAGGGUCCUAAAGGAACGUUUAAGACGAAGACGUUGAUAGGCUGGGUGUGUAAGCGUAGCGAUACGUUGAGCUAACCAGUACUAAUGAACCGUGAGGCUUAACCU
rnacentral:rRNA from 1 species